rnacentral:lncRNA from 1 species
CUGAAGACAAGCAAUGCCGGCAGGGAGGAACAAACCAACCCAAAUAAACAAAGAUGAUUUUGCAUUUCAGAAGGCAGAUCCUUAGCAAAUAAAACAGAGGCCGCGCGGCCUAGAGCUGGUCCUGAUAGAGAGGCAUCUUUCUACCCACACAGGAGAGCACGGCUCAGAGAGCAGUAGUUUUCCAUCCUGAAAAAAAAGAUACAUCUCCUCAUUCUGCUAGAGAGAGAGGAUUGGGCCUCACACACACAUACAGCUGUGUCUGUACAGACACAGCUACCUGCAAGUCUGGCCCUGCAGACCAGGCAGGUCAGAGUGUGUGGGUCUCCUGGUGCUAUUUAGAAAUCAGUGUGUUCUACCCAGAGGCAGAAGGUAGGGAGGGGGAGAAGCACUUUAUCUAGAGAGGCACUCACAUAUGCAUACACACUCACACACACAUAUGUACAUAUACUUUUUGAUAAACUGAAAAUGGCAAAAAUGUGUGUGUUUCAGCCCAAUUCAUUCUUGGUUAAAUAAAAAGAAUCAUUUCUGCCUAAAG